AUUGAACGCUGGCGGCAGGCCUAACACAUGCAAGUCGAGCGAGCGGCGGACGGGUGAGUAAUGUCUGGGGAACUGCCUGAUGGAGGGGGAUAACUACUGGAAACGGUGGCUAAUACCGCAUACUAUCGGAUGUACCCAGAUGGGAUUAGCUAGUAGGUGGGGUAAAGGCUCACCUAGGCGACGAUCCCUAGCUGGUCUGAGAGGAUGACCAGCAACACUGGGACUGAGACACGGCCCAGACUCCUACGGGAGGCAGCAGUGGGGAAUAUUGCACAAUGGGCGCAAGCCUGAUGCAGCCAUGCCGCGUGUAUGAAGAAGGCCUUAGGGUUGUAAAGUACUUUCAGCGGGGAGGCGUUACCCGCAGAAGAAGCACCGGCUAACUCCGUGCCAACAGCCGCGGUAAUUC
rnacentral:rRNA from 1 species